rnacentral:sRNA from 1 species
UUUUUAAUUUGUUCAUUUUUCCCCGAUAACCCCCUACAAGGCUUGGACUCUAUAGCUCCAGCACCACCUUUAAGGAUCCACCGACUAGCUUUCUUAUCUGUUACUUUUUUUAUUCUUACCUUUGAACCGAGUUCUGAUACCCUUUUCUCCAAAUUUUUGUGGCCCUUUUGAGCUCCUUCUCCUUGCCGCUUUGCUUGAUUAGGAUGGGCUCUCUGAAACUCGACUUCAAUCUUAUUUAUUUAUUUU